rnacentral:lncRNA from 1 species
CUGAUUGCUCCAUUAUUGAGGAAAGUACAAAGGUACUGACGUGGCCAGUAAAAGCUAGCUGAGAUGUUCAGAAAAAGUAGAUGAGGUGUCCAGGGGACAAUAAUUGUUGUGGUUGAGGUGUCGGGGCUUUAUUAUUGCGAUUGAUGAGUCAACCGAUGAGGUGUCCUGGGCUUCAUUAUUGCGACUGAUGAGUCAUCUUGGCAGCAAUAAUUUUGGCUAGUGAGGUGUCAGAUGAGGUGGCAUUGAUCAUGUCAACGCCUACAUCGUAGCUUGCACCAUUAAUGACAUCAUGUUUUGCGUCAUCCCUGCAUCAUCGGGACAUGUGUGCUGGAUAAUUUUGCAGUCGGUCUGUCCCAAAAAAGAUUAUUUUAAUCUUCCAUCAUAUUGGCAAUGUUGCGUCUUCCAACACUAUCCAUACUGCCACUGCUGGCAAAGGACAGGUUUUCCCAUUAGUCAGCAAUGUAUUUUGGAAAUCUUGAGUCUCUCAUUAGCUUGGUUAGCUAGAUCAGAGGGGAGAUCCAUCAGUACUUUCGUCAGAUAGAGAAUUAGAUAUUUUUCUAAAUCUAUAUCUAAUUCUUCUUUAGCUGUGUAGGCUAUCGGAAGGUCUCUAAGUAGCACUCUGCCGUUACAACUGACUCAAAGGGCCUUAUAUAGGCACCGGACUUGAAAUCCGGAUUCCAAACCAUAAUAAAAUAAAACAGCUAGCCUGGACAAGUGGCCAUUAUAAACAGUAAAAAGUGGAUGUACAGUGGGCAGGUGGCCGACAUUAACAGUGAACAGUCUUCCUUAUCUUGAACAGUGAUAUCUACAGUGGCUUUGAGCAGUGCUACCGACAUAACAGUGAUAUCCACAGUGAUAUUUAACAGUGCUGCCGACAUAACAGCGAUAUCUACAGUGAUAUUGAACAGUGCUGCCGACAUAACAGUGAUAUCCACAGUGAUAUUGAACAGUGCUGCCUCGAUCAGUGUCAUAAUUGAGGGAGUAACCAUCAAAAUCGUAGCUUGGUGAGGAAGGAUUGGACGGGCUGUGUUAGGGUCCAAUGUAUGUCUCAUCACUGGAACUAUCUGUUUGUGUUUCAGCAGGAGGAGGGUGAUCAGCAAGCCAUAUGUGUAGUUGAUGUAGCAGUGCAGCUCCUUGGGGAGUCUCAUCAUUUCAAACUGUGGUUCCUGUAAUUUGUAAUCGGACUUUGAAAGCAGAACUCAAAUGGGGGUCUUUGAUUGGGAUAUUAAAGUUUGGGAAAUAGGUAACAAAAAUGGUGCCAGCCUUUAAGGUUGUUUGCACAAUUCCGAUACAGCCAUUGGGGAAAAAGAUUUCUGGGUAAGGUGAUAGUGAUGUAUUGUUCAACUUGGGUAGCAGGGAUUUGGUAUUGAUCAAAGGAAGAGGCUUGAACAUAUGCCUUGAUGGUUUCAGGAUUCUUUUUUCCACAAAGUUUUUUUAUUCUUUUGGUCCAAUUUAAGCUAGAUUCAUCAUAAACAUGAUAAGGAUUAAUUAACUGAGAACUAGUUUCAGAAAACCUUUCAGGAGUAUAAGUUAUUUCGAAAAGAUGUUCUUGUUUAGAAAUCAUGGGACCUAAAUCUGGAGUAGAAUAGGAAACACUAUCUAAAGAGAUAUCUGAGACACUUUCUUCUGUCAUUUUUGAAAUAAUCUACUGUGUUGACUGUAAAUUUUUAAAAUAAAGGUUAAGGCCAACUUUCCUUUUCUAGUUAACAAUGUAUGAACUCCUUCCACAGCCUUCUUGCCUCAACAGAACUCCUAUUAUGUUAACUUUCAAAAAGUAUUGACAGUGUUCAACACUCUAAAUUAACCCUUGAUUGAUAUUAUGUUUUCUGAUGCGAGAGAUCCUAGUUCAACUAAGCAGACGCAGAGCAUACUAAUCUCAGUAUGAACUUCUGAUUAACCCAGUCAACAAAGUAACUACUGAAAAUAAUCUCAUGACACAUAUAAGGCUCUGAUACCAAUAAAGAUGUGCAUAAGGAAGAGGAAACAACAUAAUAAGGAGGAAGGGGAAACAAUAUCAUAACAAGAUAUAAGGUAGAACAGAAUGACAAACAUGCACACCGAAGGUCUAUAAGCAAAUAUAAGGAUCAAACUUACAAGAGCAAGCAGAAGUAACAAGCUUUCAAGCACAAGCAGAAGUAAGAAAGAAGCACACCAAAAGAAAGAAACUAGGCUGAGAUGCUCUAAACAGCACUCUGUCGUUACAACUGACUCAAAGGGCCUUAUAUAGGCACCGAACUUGAAAUCCGGAUUCCAAACCAUAAUAAAAUAAAACAGCUGGCCUGGACAAGUGGCCAUUAUAAACAGUAAAAAGUGGAUGUACAGUGGGCAGGUGGCAGACAUGAACAGUGAACAGUGGACAGGUGGCCAACAUGAACAGUGGACAGUCUUCCUUAUCUUGAACAGUGAUAUCUACAGAGGCUUUG